UGGGGAAUAUUGGGCAAUGGAGGAAACUCUGACCCAGCGACGCCGCGUGCGGGAUGAAGGCCUUCGGGUUGUAAACCGCUUUCAGCAAGGAAGAAGCGAAAGUGACGGUACUUGCAGAAGAAGCACCGGCUAACUAUGUGCCAGCAGCCGCGGUAAUACAUAGGGUGCAAGCGUUGUCCGGAAUUAUUGGGCGUAAAGAGCUCGUAGGUGGUUCGUCACGUCGGAUGUGAAAAUCUGGGGCUUAACCCCAGACCUGCAUUCGAUACGGGCGAGCUAGAGUGUGGUAGGGGAGACUGGAAUUCCUGGUGUAGCGGUGGAAUGCGCAGAUAUCAGGAGGAACACCAAUGGCGAAGGCAGGUCUCUGGGCCAUUACUGACGCUCAUGCACGAAAGCGUGGGGAGCAAACAGG
rnacentral:rRNA from 1 species